UACAUGUCAAAGUUGAGCCCUCUGGCUCAUGUGUCAACAUCUAACUACUAUGCUUUAUUAGGCCUGAAGGUGAGCGACCAUUACCCUGUGGAGGUAGAGCUGAAAAGAUCAACACCAACAGAACAGAAUAAUGAGAUUGAGAAAUAAUAGCCUAUACAUGGGGACACAGACAAGAGGACAGAGGUGAUGGAACUGAAAAGAGGAAACCUUCUCCUCCUCCAACCAGAGAAGCUACAUUUAGAGAUACAGGUGCUGAAGAUGCAGAUGGCCAAGCUUGGAAAAGUUACAUUGAACUGUGAUUAAGUCUUACCAGAAUACUAGUCAUAUUAGUACUCUAUGUCAUGUUUAUGUUUUAAAAGGUACUGAUAUUUUUGAGAAGAGACUUUUGAAGAGACAUUGCCCCAUUUUUAUGAGAUGCUU